CAGGACGAACGCUGGCGGCGUGCCUAACACAUGCAAGUCGAGCGAGAAGCUUAUGAACGAGCCUUCGGGCGAGUGAUUAAGUGGAAAGCGGCGGACGGGUGAGUAACGCGUGAGUAAUCUGCCUUAAGGAGGGGGAUAACACAGAGAAAUCUGUGCUAAUACCGCAUAACAUAUAUCUUUCGCAUGUUAGAUAUAUCAAAACUCCGGUGCCUUAAGAUGAGCUCGCGUCCGAUUAACUAGUUGGUGAGGUAAUGGCUCACCAAGGUUACGAUCGGUAGCCGGACUGAGAGGUUGAACGGCCACAUUGGAACUGAGACACGGUCCAGACUCCUACGGGAGGCAGCAGUGGGGGAUAUUGCGCAAUGGGGGAAACCCUGACGCAGCAACGCCGCGUGAAGGAAGAAGGUCUUCGGAUUGUAAACUUUUGUCUUUUGGGAAGAUAAUGACGGUACCAAAGGAGGAAGCCACGGCUAACUACGUG
rnacentral:rRNA from 1 species